rnacentral:lncRNA from 1 species
AUGGGUCAAAAUCAAAGUUGAUGAUCAGUCAUAUGAUCUUCAGCAGCCCUGGAAGGGUGUGAGUUCUCGGCAUCCCAUGCAGGAGCUCUGAAUGUACAAGAGGUGCUGAGGAGGGAGCAUGCGCCGGAACCAUGUAAGGCAAUCAAAAGACAUAACAAUAACCAACAUCCACGCAACUCCUGCCAGGUGCCAAACGCUGGAUGACCUCACUAUCCUCAUGGAAAAGGAGGUGAAUACCACUGCCUUCUUUCUGUGUCCAAGCAAGUUAUGACUGGAAUGGAAAGUAUAGCCACCCGGGGCUGUCAGUACCCCUACCUACUCAAUUGCAGACAUGUUGAUACAGAACAUGAUCAUCGAAUUCCAGUGAAGCCACAGUGAUGGGAGUCCAGCAAGAGUAAAAGCAAGUAGAAGGAAGAAGCCCAGAAAAACCAAAGCGCCUAAGGCCCAUGAAAGCUGUAAUGACUCCUUACCAUGAAGAUGCUAAAGGUUAAGAUGCAAGAACACGAGUGUCAAGUUCUGGUUCCAGACUACAUGCUCGUGGCCACUACACUCUGCUGCUGCCUCAUAUUCUAUAUGCCUUGUACACUGUAACUCCACUGAAGUGCUGGUGGUGGUGGCGUGUGUGUGUGAGAGGGAGAGAGAGAACUGGGGCAUCGGGAGGCCCCUAGCCCUCACACCUACCAG